rnacentral:rRNA from 1 species
UGCAAUCUACCUUUGCAGAGGGAUAGCCCAGUAGAAAUUUGGAUUAAUACCUCAUAGUAUAGUACUUUGGCAUCAAGGAACUAUUAAAGUCACAACGGCAAAAGAUGAGCAUGCGUCCCAUUAGCUAGUUGGUAAGGUAACGGCUUACCAAGGCUACGAUGGGUAGGGGGUCCUGAGAGGGAGAUCCCCCCACACUGGUACUGAGACACGGACCAGACUCCUACGGGAGGCAGCAGUGAGGAAUAUUGGACAAUGGGCGCAAGCCUGAUCCAGCCAUGCCGCGUGCAGGAUGACGGUCCUAUGGAUUGUAAACUGCUUUUAUACAGGAAGAAACACUCCGACGUGUCGGAGCUUGACGGUACUGUAAGAAUAAGGAUCGGCUAACUCCGUG